rnacentral:rRNA from 1 species
CCAAUAGCGUAUAUUAAAGUUGUUGCAGUUAAAAAGCUCGUAGUUGAAUUUCGGGAUUGACACAUCGGUCGUGCUCUAAGGGGUAUGAACUGGUGUAGUCAGUUUCUCACCUUCUGGAGAACCGCGAUGUCCUUAAUUGGGUGCCGCGAGGAACCAGGACCUUUACUUUGAAAAAAUUAGAGUGUUUAAAGCAGGCAUUUUGCUUGAAUACAUUAGCAUG